GAUGAACGCUGGCGGCGUGCCUAAUACAUGCAAGUCGAGCGAACAGACGAGGAGCUUGCUCCUCUGACGUUAGCGGCGGACGGGUGAGUAACACGUGGAUAACCUACCUAUAAGACUGGGAUAACUUCGGGAAACCGUAGCUAAUACCGGAUAAUAUUUUGAACCGCAUGGUUCAAAAGUGAAAGACGGUCUUGCUGUCACUUAUAGAUGGAUCCGCGCUGCAUUAGCUAGUUGGUAAGGUAACGGCUUACCAAGGCAACGAUGCAUAGCCGACCUGAGAGGGUGAUCGGCCACACUGGAACUGAGACACGGUCCAGACUCCUACGGGAGGCAGCAGUAGGGAAUCUUCCGCAAAGGGCGAAAGCCUGACGGAGCAACGCCGCGUGAGUGAUGAAGGUCUUCGGAUCGUAAAACUCUGUUAUUAGGGAAGAACAUAUGUGUAAGUAACUGUGCACAUCUUGACGGUACCUAAUCAGAAAGCCACGGCUAACUACGUG
rnacentral:rRNA from 1 species